AUGAUGUAGGUGUAGAAGUGAGCUAGUAUACUCUAGCUAGUAGAGAGGCAGACAGCAGAUGAUGUAGGUGUAGAAGUGAGCUAGUAUACUCUAGCUAGUAGAGAGGCAGACAGCAGAUGAUGUAGGUGUAGAAGUGAGCUAGUAUACUCUAGCUAGUAGAGAGGCAGACAGCAGAUGAUGUAGGUGUAGAAGUGAGCUAGUAUACUCUAGCUAGUAGAGAGGCAGACAGCAGAUGAUGUAGGUGUAGAAGUGAGCUAGUAUACUCUAGCUAGUAGAGAGGCAGACAG